AGUGAACGCUGGCGGUAGGCCUAACACAUGCAAGUCGAACGGCAGCACAGUAAGAGCUUGCUCUUACGGGUGGCGAGUGGCGGACGGGUGAGGAAUACAUCGGAAUCUACUUUUUCGUGGGGGAUAACGUAGGGAAACUUACGCUAAUACCGCAUACGACCUACGGGUGAAAGCAGGGGAUCUUCGGACCUUGCGCGAUUGAAUGAGCCGAUGUCGGAUUAGCUAGUUGGCGGGGUAAAGGCCCACCAAGGCGACGAUCCGUAGCUGGUCUGAGAGGAUGAUCAGCCACACUGGAACUGAGACACGGUCCAGACUCCUACGGGAGGCAGCAGUGGGGAAUAUUGGACAAUGGGCGCAAGCCUGAUCCAGCCAUACCGCGUGGGUGAAGAAGGCCUUCGGGUUGUAAAGCCCUUUUGUUGGGAAGGAGAAGCAGCAGGUUAAUACCCCGCUGUUCUGACGGUACCCAAAGAAUAAGCACCGGCUAACUUCGUG
rnacentral:rRNA from 1 species